GGAUUGUGUGAUUCUAAGCACAGAGACCUGGGUUCAAAUUUCUACUCAGCUGUGAUCUUUCAACCUAACCUAAAUGUCUUGCAGGGUUUUGCUGUCGUUUUUCUAGGAUAAAAUGGGAGCCACUCCCAUGUUCAUUAGGGCGGAAGAUGGGUAUACAUAUGUGGCUUUAGAAAAAGUGUUUUUAAGUCAUGUUGCGUACUCAUUUUCCUGUUCUAAAUGUGUGCACUUUCUAAUCUGACUCAAGUGCUCCCUUCUCCUUGCUUGGGGAGAUGUGGACUGUGUUUUCAUGUGCUUGCAUCUUGCCUCAGAUGUUUGGAGGCAGAAUUCGGGAGGAGGCGAUUGUCCAGUGUUCUGAAACUGACUAAAACUGUGCAAAUCCCACCGCCCUGUGAGUAUAUUUGCAUCUUUACACUGACUAGUGUAUGAAUGGGCAUUGUUACAACACUUGCGAUAUCUGGUACCCAAGAUUCAGAGACAGACCCAUUCAGGAGAGAGGAUGCAACAAAUAAAAACGAUCUGUACAUCAUUUCCCGCGUGAGACUUCACCAUGAGCUCAAGUGGUAAAAAAAAAUAGCGCCAGGGGUGCAUUUGGGAAACGGAUGAGGCAAAAAAACCCCAGAUAGGUGCUCUGUAUCUAUACCGGAACAGGCAUGCACAAACUUCAUUCAGAAGGGGACAAAGGUUUGCUACCGCAGUUCUUCCUGACCCAAUGAAUGCACAGAGCAACAGUUUCCUUUCAGAUGCGUCCGGCAAGGAAUUAAGAAUGGAUGUGUGCUUUUCCAUCCCGAUGUCGCUAUGCUGACCUGCAGCAACCAAACGGAGGAGGCUUUCGAUGUAUAAACCGGAGUUCUCCAUUUUAGGCUGGAUUUUGUAAUAUCCCAACGUUGUUGCUUUUUAAAGAUGGAAGGUGCUUGCAUCUCUCAGCAAGGGGUUUGCCACUCAGAGCCUUUGCUGGAAAGUUCGUUCUUGUGUGCAAUGGAAUACCUUUUAGGCAGAUUAAGAAAGGCUGAUUCCUUGGUUGGAUGGAACUGA